rnacentral:rRNA from 1 species
UAUGCGUUGUGGUAGGGGAGCGUUCUGUAAGGCCUGCGAAGGGUGUACUGUGAGGUAUGCUGGAGGUAUCAGAAGUGCGAAUGCUGACAUAAGUCAACGAUAAAGCGGGUGAAAAGCCCGCUCGCCGGAAGACCAAGGGUUCCUGUCCAACGUUAAUCGGGGCAGGGUGAGUCGACCCCUAAGGCGAGGCCGAAAGGCGUAGUCGAUGGGAAACAGGUUAAUAUUCCUGUACUUGGUGUUACUGCGAAGGGGGGACGGAGAAGGCUAUGUUGGCCGGGCGACGGUUGUCCCGGUUUAAGCGUGUAGGCUGGUUUUCCAGGCAAAUCCGGAAAAUCAAGGCUGAGGCGUGAUGACGAGGCACUACGGUGCUGAAGCAACAAAUGCCCUGCUUCCAGGAAAAGCCUCUAAGCAUCAGGUAACAUCAAAUCGUACCCCAAACCGACACAGGUGGUCAGGUAGAGAAUACCAAGGCGCUUGAGAGAACUCGGGUGAAGGAACUAGGCAAAAUGGUGCCGUAACUUCGGGAGAAGGCACGCUGAUAUGUAGGUGAAGUCCCUCGCGGAUGGAGCUGAAAUCAGUCGAA